rnacentral:sRNA from 1 species
AGGUGCUCCGCAACCGUCUGUGCCACCCAGAGCCGGCGGGCCGCUAGGUCCCCGGAGACCCUGCUAUGGUACGCGCGGGCGCCGUGGGGGCUCAUCUCCCCGCGUCCAGCUUGGAUAUCUUCGGGGACCUGAAGAAGAUGAACAAGCGCCAGCUCUAUUACCAGGUUUUAAACUUCGCCAUGAUCGUGUCUUCUGCACUCAUGAUAUGGAAAGGCUUGAUCGUGCUCACGGGCAGUGAGAGCCCCAUCGUGGUGGUGCUGAGUGGCAGUAUGGAACCGGCCUUUCACAGAGGAGACCUCCUGUUCCUCACAAAUUUCCGGGAAGACCCAAUCAGAGCUGGUGAAAUAGUUGUUUUUAAAGUUGAAGGACGAGACAUUCCAAUAGUUCACAGAGUAAUCAAAGUUCAUGAAAAGUAAAGAGGCUUUAUUUCUUUUUGGUUUUGUUUUGUAAAUUUUUGGUAGAUUCAUGGCUAAUUAGAAACUAGUAAAAGCACUGGAUUAUGUUCUGAGUUCUGCCAUUGACUCACUGGGUGACUUUGGACCAAAUGCUUAACUCUUCCUGUAGGAUGGGAGUUGUAGUAGUUAAACCCAUAGUAACUCACGAAAUGAUUAUGAGAAUUAAAUGAACUAAUGUUUACUAAAGCAAUUCAGGAACUUAAAUUGCUGCACAAAUAUAAGGUAUGAUGUAUUAUGACAUGUUAGUUAUUUGAAGGAGCUCAAAGAAAAUCAAGUCACAUUGCAACAGAGGAUGGUUUUGAUAUGAAAAUUAUUUUCUGAAAUGCAAAAAAAGCUAGCUGUUUUUCUAUGUUACUUUGGCCAAACUCAUCUCAUGAUUUGGUCAUUGCAUAUUCUGCAUUACUUUUCCACCGCCCCAUCCCCUACUCCCCAAACAGCCUUGCUGUUAAUACCAGCUGUGACUUACUUAUGAAGACCCUUUUCUGGAACCGGAAACAUUUACUUCUUGCUCAAAUAUAUAAAGUUACCAUGAGAGAGUACUUCACAUGAUUAGUAAAAAUGUUACAUUUCAUAUACUUG